AUAGGGGAGCCGUAGGGAAACCGAGUCUUAACCGGGCGUUAAGUUGCAGGGUAUAGACCCGAAACCCGGUGAUCUAGCCAUGGGCAGGUUGAAGGUUGGGUAACACUAACUGGAGGACCGAACCGACUAAUGUUGAAAAAUUAGCGGAUGACCUGUGGCUGGGGGUGAAAGGCCAAUCAAACCGGGAGAUAGCUGGUUCUCCCCGAAAGCUAUUUAGGUAGCGCCUCGUGAAUUCAUCUCCGGGGGUAGAGCACUGUUUCGGCUAGGGGGCCAUCCCGGCUUACCAACCCGAUGCAAACUGCGAAUACCGGAGAAUGUUAUCACGGGAGACACACGGCGGGUGCUAACGUCCGUCGUGAAGAGGGAAACAACCCAGACCGCCAGCUAAGGUCCCAAAGUCAUGGUUAAGUGGGAAACGAUGUGGGAAGGCCCAGACAGCCAGGAUGUUGGCUUAGAAGCAGCCAUCAUUUAAAGAAAGCGUAAUAGCUCACUGGUCGAGUCGGCCUGCGCGGAAGAUGUAACGGGGCUAAACCAUGCACCGAAGCUGCGGCAGCGACACUGUGUGU
rnacentral:rRNA from 1 species